AUUGAACGCUGGCGGCAUGCCUUACACAUGCAAGUCGAACGGUAACAGGUCUUCGGAUGCUGACGAGUGGCGGACGGGUGCGUAAUACAUCGGAACGUGCCCAGACGUGGGGGAUAACGAGGCGAAAGCUUUGCUAAUACCGCAUACGAUCUAAGGAUGAAAGCAGGGGACCGCAAGGCCUUGUGCGUUUGGAGCGGCCGAUGGCAGAUUAGGUAGUUGGUGGGAUAAAAGCUUACCAAGCCGACGAUCUGUAGCUGGUCUGAGAGGACGACCAGCCACACUGGGACUGAGACACGGCCCAGACUCCUACGGGAGGCAGCAGUGGGGAAUUUUGGACAAUGGGCGAAAGCCUGAUCCAGCAAUGCCGCGUGCAGGAUGAAGGCCUUCGGGUUGUAAACUGCUUUUGUACGGAACGAAAAGGCUCUGGCUAAUACCUGGGGCACAUGACGGUACCGUAAGAAUAAGCACCGGCUAACUACGUG
rnacentral:rRNA from 1 species